CCUACGGGAGGCAGCAGUGGGGUAAUUUUGGACAAUGGGCGCAAGCCUGAUCCAGCAAUGCCGCGUGAGUGAAGAAGGCCUUCGGGUUGUAAAGCUCUUUUGUCAGGGAAGAAACGGUUGGGGCUAAUAUCCUCGGCUAAUGACGGUACCUGAAGAAUAAGCACCGGCUAACUACGUGCCAGCAGCCGCGGUAAUACGUAGGGUGCAAGCGUUAAUCGGAAUUACUGGGCGUAAAGCGUGCGCAGGCGGUUUUUGUAAGUCUGUCGUGAAAGCCCCGGGCUUAACCUGGGAAUUGCGAUGGAGACUGCAAGGCUUGAAUCUGGCAGAGGGGGGUAGAAUUCCACGUGUAGCAGUGAAAUGCGUAGAGAUGUGGAGGAACACCGAUGGCGAAGGCAGCCCCCUGGGUCAAGAUUGACGCUCAUGCACGAAAGCGUGGGGAGCAAACAGGAUUAGAUACCCUGGUAGUCCACGCCCUAAACGAUGUCUACUAGUUGUCGGGUCUUAAUUGACUUGGUAACGCAGCUAACGCGUAGAAGUAGACCGCCUGGGGAGUACGGUCGCAAGAUUAAAACUAAUGAAUUGACCCGGNUGAGACGAGACGAGACGACGACGAGGAGGAGG
rnacentral:rRNA from 1 species